rnacentral:sRNA from 1 species
GAGCAUCGUAGCCACGACGGUCGGAAGCG